ANACNUGCAGUUGACGAGAUAAGUUGUAGCAAUACGGCUUUGAAAGUGGCGCACGGGUGCGUAACACGUAUGCAACCUACCUGAUACAGGGGGAUAGCCUCUCGAAAGAGAGAUUAAUACCCCAUAAAAUGGAGAACCGGCAUCGGUAAAUCAUUAAAGCUACGGCGGUAUCAGAUGGGCAUGCGGCUGAUUAGCUAGUUGGUGAGGUAACGGCUCACCAAGGCGACGAUCAGUAGGGGGUCUGAGAGGAUGUCCCCCCACACUGGUACUGAGACACGGACCAGACUCCUACGGGAGGCAGCAGUAGGGAAUAUUGGGCAAUGGUCGGAAGACUGACCCAGCCACGCCGCGUGCAGGAGGAAGGCCCUCUGGGUUGUAAACUGCUUUAGCAGGGGAAGAAAAGACGCAUGCGUGCGGCAUUGACGGUACCCUGAGAAUAAGCACCGGCUAACUACGUGCCAGCAGCCGCGGUAAUACGUAGGGUACGAGCGUUGUCCGGAUUUAUUGGGUUUAAAGGGUGCGUAGGCGGCCGAAUAAGUCAGUGUUAAAAUUUUGCAGCUUAACUGUAGGUAUGGCAUUGAUACUGUUUGGCUUGAAUGUCAUGGAGGUAGCUGGAAUUUAUGGUGUAGCGGUGAAAUGCAUAGAUACCAUAAGGAACACCGAUAGCGGAGGCAUGUUACCACGUGAUGAUUGACGCUGAGGCACGAAAGUGUGGGGAUCAAACAGGAUUAGAUACCCUGNUAGUCCACACUGUAAACGAUGAUUACUAGAUGCUGGCGAGAAUUUGUCAGUGUUCAAGCGAAAGCGAUAAGUAAUCCACCUGGGGGAGUACGANCCGCANNGUUGAAACUCNAGGAAUUGACGGG
rnacentral:rRNA from 1 species